UACAGAGGUCUCAAGCGUUGUUCGGAUUCAUUGGGAGUAAAGGGUGCGUAGGCGGCGCGGUAAGUCGGGUGUGAAAUCUCGGGGCUUAACUCCGAAACUGCAUUCGAUACUGCCGUGCUUGAGGACUGGAGAGGAGACUGGAAUUUACGGUGUAGCGGUGAAAUGCGUAGAUAUCGUAAGGAAGACCAGUGGCGAAGGCGGGUCUCUGGGCAGUAACUGACGCUGAGGAGCGAAAGCGUGGGGAGCGAACAGG
rnacentral:rRNA from 1 species